AGAGUUGCCACAUAAAUGAAGGUGAAGAGGGUGAAGAGGGAGAAGAAGGGGAAGAAUCUGAACUUUCCUUUGAGGAGAAGGAGAUGGAAAAACAGAAGCUUCUGUAUCAACAAUCCCGGUUGCACAACCGAGGGGCAGCCGAGAUGGUUCUGCAGAUGAUCAGCGCCUGCAAAGGAGAGCCUGGUGCCAUGGUGUCUUCCACGUUGAAACUGGGCAUCUCCAUCCUGAAUGGCGGCAACGAGGAAGUGCAGCAGGUAUGGAGGAAAGGAAAAA